GAUUUGGAACCAGAGAUGGCAAGGGACGUGGCAUGCGUUAUUUCCGGGCGCUGGCCUACGUCCCCCGACCCCUAAGAUGAGGGUGGACGAGGCUACAAGGGCCUGCUGCCGAGCGUCCCGGGGCUGUGGGCGCAAGACAGCUGGGCCUCUACGGCCACAGCAGGACGCCAGACGCCCGAAUCCCUUGAGCCGCCAGUGAACGCAGGCGCCGCUGUGCUCUCAGCCCAUCUGGCCACCAGGGGUCGCCCGCCCGGCGCGGGCCUGAGGCGACUUUCUUCUCCGGGACUCGACGCGGACAGGCUGGAUUACCUUCCAAAACGUGUGUGCACUAGGCAGAGACAAUAUCUCACAAUGUAGCCCAGGAUGGCCUACUUAUCCUUCAAAUCCCUGUUGUCAUAUUCUCAGGAAGCCAGUUAUUAACAUAUACCACCAAAGAAGAGGAUAGAGGUAGCUGAUGGGGAAGUCUAAGAAGAUACUAAAGGAGAACCAGCAGUGGAAGAAAAGAUCACUUUCUUUGUAGACACUUUAUAGGGUUUUGGAUUCUGUAAACUCUGGCACGUAACUCGACCUCAAAGUUAAUGAAAUCCUGUUAGACUUUCCCUGCCCUCCUUCCUGCUUCCAUCCUUCAGAUUAUCUCACCUUUUAAAAACUCAAUUUCUAUUUGUAUACAUGUGAUCUUCAUGUCAUUGGCUCUUUAUGCGGGCACUUUUCACCUACAUCCUUUCCUUCCCUCAUCUGGCAGCCAGUUGGGCUUCUUCCUGCCUUGAAUACCACAUUCCCUAGUUCUUCAAGCUCAGUCAUUAGCACCCUGUCCCCCUACUAAAAUUAUGAAUGAAAAGCCUUGUUGUUCUUUACAAAUAACUCAGGCUGCCUCAGUCAGUCAAAUUCGAAUGGAAGUGACUGCCAGACAAAGGGCCAGGAUGAUGGACAGUGCUCACAGCAAGUCAUCAAUGCCCACAGGAAGUUUUUUAAGCCACAAUAUAGGUAGAGAGGCUUGGGCGUUCCUGGAGGACAAGCUUACAGAAGGAGGCUGGGAGGUGGGGGGAGGGAGACUUUCUGUGUCUGUUGGGAACUUAGAAAAAACUUCCAUGAAGCUCAGAGAUAACAAUGUACAGAGUCAGUUUUGCCCGAGCAGGAACUUAAAAUUCCGGCCAUGGAGACAUCUACACCUUGCAGUAAUUCUGGUUUGCACCGACACACACAGACAAAAGUGAAGGCACCAACCAUUUACUUGGUUUUGAAUGCUGAACGAUGCAAGAGUGGGUUACAUUCUUGGAGCUGCACAACUCCCUGCUGAGAAGUUGCAUUGUCUUGGGCCCCUCUUUCACAACAGGGGAAAAGAGUUGAGCUUGGAUUUAGAUCUACAGCUCCACGUAUUCGUUUCUCCUGAGACCCAUGUAUUUUGGAGUUCUGACGACAAGGCAGUUUUUCUUCAGUCUAUUGAUUUAGGAACCCUGACCUAGGAGUGCAUAUGCUGUAACUGAAGUAGUCUGGUGUCUUAACAUUUUCAGCUUCAAACAUGUGUUACGUGACUAGAUGGAAUUCCUUGAGAACUGUAUUAACAUGUUUCAAAGAGUUGAAUUAACAGGCUGGAGUGCAAAGGCACGAUCUCAGCUCACCUGCAACCUC